GACGUUAUCCACCUCUGCUUCUGCUAGCAGUCUUUGACCCAAAUACUCCUGCCAGUGCUACUGCUGUGUGUUUCAGAGGGAGGCCAGCUGUCGUUCUGCAGCAAUGGGAGGUGCUCAGCUCACAGUGCAAGGGAAAGGAGAUCUUAUGAUAAAUCCCAUUAAGGAGAAGCUACAGGGAAAAUGCCAUCAAAAUAAAGAUCUCUGUCCAGCAUUUUGCCAGGAGGCAGGCCCUGAUUACCGAAUACCACACUCUACACCCUGCCUUCUGCAAAGCCCUUCUUUGUGCCACUUUGGUCUCAUCUUCUGGCUCAGCCCUCACAUCCUGGCAUACUCUAUAAACUGCUGAUAUUAUCCAUUAAUGGAAAGAGGAAGCAAGAGGAGCACAAGGCAGAAUUGCAGUCUUCCAGCUACUCUGCCUGUUGAGAGCAGCUUCUUGAAAGCUGAUUUUUGCUGAAGUAAACCACAGUGGUAAUUCCCCUCAUCUUCAGGACUUAAAGCUUGCUGCAAAAUCAUUGAUUUUGAUGAAGCUAUUGCAGAUUCACAGAGAUACAGUCAAAGCCAAAUUUGGCCUUAAGACGGUGAAUUUAUCAAAUUAUUAAUGAACUUUGGUCUGAGGCUGCAUGGCAGUAAAUCAAGGUGUUAUCUCUUCUAACCAGAGAAAACGGGUUUUGAAAUGCUUUGGCAAUGUUUAUUACCAAAUAGAAAUAUUAAAAGAAAGGGUGUGAGUCUUCCGAGGUCUUUCCCUACCACUGAUCUCCCUCCCAGCACAGUUAGAAAACAAACCCACUGCUAUUUAUGAAUGUUAAAGUUUUGUUACUUAUUUCUGAUGGAAAAGUUCCUUUCUGUCAAAUUACUCUGUUUCAGAGGAAAACCAUCCCACUGGCUAUUUCUGACCAAUCAUCCUUUUUUAUCUCCCUUCUUGCCACCUCUGAGAGCUAAGUUGUGACGCUGCUUCCCAGGAACCCAGCCCAGGUCUUAUCAGUUCCUGACAGAUCAUGGAUAGCUGACAUGCCUUCUGCCUAUGGCUGCAUGUGACCUUAGGGUUCAGAGAAAGUGAGAUCUGAAGAUAAGAAGUGGAGAGUAUUUACUUACUUAUUUUUAACAUAGUAAGCUAAACAUACUGUCAAAGCAGAAGUUUUGUCGAAUUUUUAAGAGGGUUCAGUUUCGUUAUCAGUUUGGUUGGUUGUUAGAUUUCAGGCAAUUGCCUAGAAGACGGUCACUGCUGUUGAAGGCUUGACAUUGCCAGAUACAUUUGUGUGCGAAGUCAAGAAGUGGGGAUUACUCAAUUUAUGAUCCUCAUAUCAGAAAGAAGUAGGAAAAUCCCUGGAUUUGUGGGAUUACAGGCAGUGCUAAAGUGAUCUCUUUUCAGGGAUACUGACUGAAGACUAUGAGAUUCAGUGAGAGCUUUUCUCUUUUUUCUGAGUUCAUUUAUUCACUCCAGUCAUCUCAAGAUAGCUUGCUUUUUAAAAUGAACUUUCAAAAUAUAAAAAACCAUGCAGAUACUAAGCACAAGGAAUAAGAGAAGUAACAAUGAAUCUUGAGAAGUGACAACAAAUAAACACUUUAUGAGGAUUUAGGCUUACUGAAGACCUGCCCCAAUAAAUGCAUUCUGUGGUAUUUUAUUAGUUUUAUUUAUUUCUGUGGUUUUAUUUAUUAAACAAUUGGCUGAAGAACUAAAGCAAUCGCUUUUUGGAAUAACUGGGUAAGAGAGGCAGGUCUGGCAACAGUAUCAGGAUUCCCACUGUAGAUGUGUGGAAAGGCAAAGGAUAUAUUAUACACAAGGGUAAAUGUGUAAGAGAGAAGUGGAUUUCCUCUCAUUGCUUUUGAAUUUUGGUCAAUUAUAUUCUUCCACUCUGAUUUUUGCCCUU